rnacentral:misc_RNA from 1 species
GAUGAAGAACGUAGUGAACUGCGAUAAGUAAUGUGAAUUGCAGAAUUCAGUGAAUCAUCGAGUCUUUGAACGCACAUUGCGCCCCCUGGCAGUCCGGGGGGCAUGCCUGUCCGAGCGUCAUUGCUGCCCUUCAAGCCCGGCUUGUGUGUUGGGUCGUCGUCCCCCCCGGGGGACGGGCCCGAAAGGCAGCGGCGGCACCGCGUCCGGUCCUCGAGCGUAUGGGGCUUUGUCACCCGCUCGAUUAGGGCCGGCCGGGCGCCAGCCGGCGUCUCCAACCUUCUAUUUUACCAGGUUGACCUCGGAUCAGGUAGGGAUACCCGCUGAACUUAAGCAUAUCAAUAAGCGGAGGA